GACGAACGCUGGCGGCGUGCUUAACACAUGCAAGUCGAACGGAAAGGCCCUGCUUUUGUGGGGUGCUCGAGUGGCGAACGGGUGAGUAACACGUGAGUAACCUGCCCUUGACUUUGGGAUAACUUCAGGAAACUGGGGCGAAUACCGGAUAGGAGCUCCUGCUGCAUGGUGGGGGUUGGAAAGUUUCGGCGGUUGGGGAUGGACUCGCGGCUUAUCAGCUUGUUGGUGGGGUAGUGGCUUACCAAGGCGGUGACGGGUAGCCGGCCUGGGGGGGUGACCGGCCACAUUGCGCCUGCGAUACGCCCCAGACUACUACGGGAGGCAGCAGUGGGAAAUAUUGCCCAAUGGGCGCAAGCCUGAUGCAGCAACGCCGCGUGCGGGAUGACGGCCUUAUAGUUGUAAACCGCUUUCGCCUGUGACGAAGCGUCAGUGACGGUAAUGGGUAAAGAAGCACCGGCUAACUACGUG
rnacentral:rRNA from 1 species